CCCUUCAGAGGGGGACAACAGUUGGAAACGACUGCUAAUACCGCAUACGAUCCAAUCUCGGCAUCGAGACUGGAUGAAGGGUGGCCUCUAUUUAUAAGCUAUCACUGAAGGAGGGGAUUGCGUCUGAUUAGCUAGUUGGAGGGGUAACGGCCCACCAAGGCGAUGAUCAGUAGCCGGUCUGAGAGGAUGAACGGCCACAUUGGGACUGAGACACGGCCCAG
rnacentral:rRNA from 1 species